AUUUAAAUAGUUUAAUUAAAAUAUUGAUUUGUGGUGUCAAUGAUAUGAAUUUUAUUCAUUUUAGAUC
rnacentral:tRNA from 1 species